GGGAGUAUAGUUGAGGAGGUAGAGCAUGUUUUUUGCAAAAAUGAAGUUUACGGUUCAAGUCCGUUUAUCGCCA
rnacentral:tRNA from 1 species